ACGGAAGGCAGCAGUGGGGAAUAUUGGACAAUGGGCGCAAGCCUGAUCCAGCGACGCCGCGUGAGUGAAGAAGUAUUUCGGUAUGUAAAGCUCUAUCAGCAGGGAAGAUAAUGACGGUACCUGACUAAGAAGCCCCGGCUAACUACGUGCCAGCAGCCGCGGUAAUACGUAGGGGGCAAGCGUUAUCCGGAUUUACUGGGUGUAAAGGGAGCGUAGACGGCUUUGCAAGUCUGAUGUGAAAGCCCGGGGCUUAACCCCGGGACUGCAUUGGAAACUGUAGAGCUUGAGUGCAGGAGAGGUAAGUGGAAUUCCUAGUGUAGCGGUGAAAUGCGUAGAUAUUAGGAGGAACACCAGUGGCGAAGGCGGCUUACUGGACUGUAACUGACGUUGAGGCUCGAAAGCGUGGGGAGCAAACAGGAUUAGAUACCCUGGUA
rnacentral:rRNA from 1 species